rnacentral:rRNA from 1 species
UACAGAGGGGGCGAGCGUUGUUCGGAAUUACUGGGCGUAAAGGGCGCGUAGGCGGCCUUCUAAGUCGAACGUGAAAUCCCCGGGCUCAACCCGGGAACUGCGUCCGAGACUGGAAGGCUCGAAUCCGGGAGAGGGAUGUGGAAUUCCAGGUGUAGCGGUGAAAUGCGUAGAUAUCUGGAGGAACAUCGGUGGCGAAGGCGGCAUCCUGGACCGGUAUUGACGCUGAGGCGCGAAAGCCAGGGGAGCAAAGCGGG